rnacentral:rRNA from 1 species
UACGUAGGGUGCGAGCGUUGUCCGGAAUUACUGGGCGUAAAGAGCUCGUAGGUGGUUUGUCGCGUUGUUCGUGAAAACUCACAGCUUAACUGUGGGCGUGCGGGCGAUACGGGCAGACUGGAGUACUGUAGGGGAGACUGGAAUUCCUGGUGUAGCGGUGGAAUGCGCAGAUAUCAGGAGGAACACCGGUGGCGAAGGCGGGUCUCUGGGCAGUAACUGACGCUGAGGAGCGAAAGCGUGGGGAGCGAACAGG